AUGCGGCGCGCGAGGCCGCCGCCGGGGCCGGGGCUGGAGGGCGAGGAGGUGCGGUACCGCGGGGUGCGGCGGCGCCCGUCGGGCCGGUACGCGGCCGAGAUCCGCGACCCGGCCAAGAAGACCCCGAUCUGGCUCGGCACCUUCGACUCCGCCGAGGCCGCCGCGCGCGCCUACGACGCCGCCGCCCGGAACCUCCGCGGCGCCGCCGCGCGCACCAACUUCCCCGCCUCCCCCGCCGCGGCGCCGCCGCGCGCGCCGCCCCCCGCCCCCGUCGCCGCGCCGGCGACGAUGGCCGCGGCGGCCACGUCCAGCCACAGCAGCACGAUCGAGUCCUGGAGCGGCGGGAACGUCCCGCCCACCAGCGUCCUCUUCCGCGCCGCCGCGAUCGGCGCCCCGGCCAUCGAGGAGGACUGCCGCAGCUACUGCGGCUCCUCCUCGUCCGCGGUGUGCGAGGACGGCGCGUCGGGGGGCGCCGCCGCGGCCGCAGACGAGGCCGCCGCGCCGCCGCGCCCCUCCUCGUCCUCGCUGCCCUUCGAUCUGAACCUGCCGGACCCCGCGGCCGCCGCCGACGAGAUGGACUGGCGCUGCGACACGCUGCUCCGCCUCUGA
rnacentral:rRNA from 1 species